rnacentral:rRNA from 1 species
GGUUAAGCGACUAAGCGUACACGGUGGAUGCCCUGGCAGUCAGAGGCGAUGAAGGACGUGCUAAUCUGCGAAAAGCGUCGGUAAGGUGAUAUGAACCGUUAUAACCGGCGAUGUCCGAAUGGGGAAACCCAGUGCAAUUCGUUGCACUAUCGUUAACUGAAUACAUAGGUUAACGAGGCGAACCGGGGGAACUGAAACAUCUAAGUACCCCGAGGAAAAGAAAUCAACCGAGAUUCCCCCAGUAGCGGCGAGCGAACGGGGAGCAGCCCAGAGUCUGAAUCAGCUUGUGUGUUAGUGGAACGGUCUGGAAAGUCCGACGGUACAGGGUGAUAGUCCCGUACACCAAAAUGCACAGGCUGUGAACUCGAAGAGUAGGGCGGGACACGUGGUAUCCUGUCUGAAUAUGGGGGGACCAUCCUCCAAGGCUAAAUACUCCUGACUGACCGAUAGUGAACCAGUACCGUGAGGGAAAGGCGAAAAGAACCCCGGCGAGGGGAGUGAAAAAGAACCUGAAACCGUGUACGUACAAGCAGUGGGAGCACCUUCGGGUGUGACUGCGUACCUUUUGUAUAAUGGGUCAGCGACUUAUAUUCUGUAGCAAGGUUAACCGUAUAGGGGAGCCGCAGGGAAACCGAGUCUUAACUGGGCGUUAAGUUGCAGGGUAUAGACCCGAAACCCGGUGAUCUAGCCAUGGGCAGGUUGAAGGUUGGGUAACACUAACUGGAGGACCGAACCGACUAAUGUUGAAAAAUUAGCGGAUGACUUGUGGCUGGGGGUGAAAGGCCAAUCAAACCGGGAGAUAGCUGGUUCUCCCCGAAAGCUAUUUAGGUAGCGCCUCGUGAACUCAUCUUCGGGGGUAGAGCACUGUUUCGGCUAGGGGUCAUCCCGACUUACCAACCCGAUGCAAACUACGAAUACCGAAGAAUGUUAUCACGGGAGACACACGGCGGGUGCUAACGUCCGUCGUGAAGAGGGAAACAACCCAGACCGCCAGCUAAGGUCCCAAAGUCAUGGUUAAGUGGGAAACGAUGUGGGAAGGCACAGACAGCCAGGAUGUUGGCUUAGAAGCAGCCAUCAUUUAAAGAAAGCGUAAUAGCUCACUGGUCGAGUCGGCCUGCGCGGAAGAUGUAACGGGGCUAAACCAUGCACCGAAGCUGCGGCAGCGACACUAUGUGUUGUUGGGUAGGGGAGCGUUCUGUAAGCCUGCGAAGGUGACCUGUGAGGGUUGCUGGAGGUAUCAGAAGUGCGAAUGCUGACAUAAGUAACGAUAAAGCGGGUGAAAAGCCCGCUCGCCGGAAGACCAAGGGUUCCUGUCCAACGUUAAUCGGGGCAGGGUGAGUCGACCCCUAAGGCGAGGCCGAAAGGCGUAGUCGAUGGGAAACAGGUUAAUAUUCCUGUACUUGGUGUUACUGCGAAGGGGGACGGAGAAGGCUAUGUUAGCCGGGCGACGGUUGUCCCGGUUUAAGCAUGUAGGCUGGUUGUCCAGGCAAAUCCGGAUAAUCAAGGCUGAGGUGUGAUGACGAGGCACUACGGUGCUGAAGUAACAAAUGCCCUGCUUCCAGGAAAAGCCUCUAAGCAUCAGGUAACAUUAAAUCGUACCCCAAACCGACACAGGUGGUCAGGUAGAGAAUACCAAGGCGCUUGAGAGAACUCGGGUGAAGGAACUAGGCAAAAUGGUGCCGUAACUUCGGGAGAAGGCACGCUGGUGUGUAGGUGAAGUCCCUGCGGAUGGAGCUGAGACCAGUCGAAGAUACCAGCUGGCUGCAACUGUUUAUUAAAAACACAGCACUGUGCAAACACGAAAGUGGACGUAUACGGUGUGACGCCUGCCCGGUGCCGGAAGGUUAAUUGAUGGGGUUAUCCGUAAGGAGAAGCUCUUGAUCGAAGCCCCGGUAAACGGCGGCCGUAACUAUAACGGUCCUAAGGUAGCGAAAUUCCUUGUCGGGUAAGUUCCGACCUGCACGAAUGGCGUAAUGAUGGCCAGGCUGUCUCCACCCGAGACUCAGUGAAAUUGAACUCGCUGUGAAGAUGCAGUGUACCCGCGGCAAGACGGAAAGACCCCGUGAACCUUUACUAUAGCUUGACACUGAACAUUGAGCCUUGAUGUGUAGGAUAGGUGGGAGGCUUUGAAGCGUGGACGCCAGUCUGCGUGGAGCCAACCUUGAAAUACCACCCUUUAAUGUUUGAUGUUCUAACGUUGGCCCCUGACCGGGGUUGCGGACAGUGUCUGGUGGGUAGUUUGACUGGGGCGGUCUCCUCCCAAAGCGUAACGGAGGAGCACGAAGGUUAGCUAAUCCUGGUCGGACAUCAGGAGGUUAGUGCAAUGGCAUAAGCUAGCUUGACUGCGAGCGUGACGGCGCGAGCAGGUGCGAAAGCAGGUCAUAGUGAUCCGGUGGUUCUGAAUGGAAGGGCCAUCGCUCAACGGAUAAAAGGUACUCCGGGGAUAACAGGCUGAUACCGCCCAAGAGUUCAUAUCGACGGCGGUGUUUGGCACCUCGAUGUCGGCUCAUCACAUCCUGGGGCUGAAGUAGGUCCCAAGGGUAUGGCUGUUCGCCAUUUAAAGUGGUACGCGAGCUGGGUUUAGAACGUCGUGAGACAGUUCGGUCCCUAUCUGCCGUGGGCGCUGGAGAAUUGAGGGGGGCUGCUCCUAGUACGAGAGGACCGGAGUGGACGCAUCACUGGUGUUCGGGUUGUCAUGCCAAUGGCACUGCCCGGUAGCUAAAUGCGGAAGAGAUAAGUGCUGAAAGCAUCUAAGCACGAAACUUGCCCCGAGAUGAGUUCUCCCUGAGACUUUAAGUCUCCUGAAGGAACGUUAAAGACGAUGACGUUGAUAGGCCGGGUGUGUAAGCGCAGCGAUGCGUUGAGCUAACCGGUACUAAUGAACCGUGAGGCUUAACCUU